ACGCCUAAUACAUGCAAGUCGAACGAAGUAGCAAUACUUAGUGGCAGACGGGUGAGUAACAUGUGGGUAUCUUCCCUUUGGUGAGGAAUAACACGAGGAAACUUGUGCUAAUACCUCAUAAGUCUUUACGGAGAAAGCUUUAUGCGCCAUUGGAUGAGCCCGCACUUGAUUAGUUUGUUGGUGGGGUAAUGGCCUACCAAGACUUUGAUCAAUAGCUGAUUUGAGAGGAUGAUCAGCCACAUUGGGACUGAGACACGGCCCAAACUCCUACGGGAGGCAGCAGUAGGGAAUCUUGCACAAUGGAGGAAACUCUGAUGCAGCGAUGCCGCGUGAGUGAAGAAGGCCUUUGGGUUGUAAAGCUCUUUCGUCGGGGAAGAAAAUGACUGUACCCGAAUAAGAAGGUCCGGCUAACUUCGUGCCAGCAGCCGCGGUAAUACGAAGGGACCUAGCGUAGUUCGGAAUUACUGGGCUUAAAGAGUUCGUAGGUGGUUAAAAAAGUUGGUGGUGAAAGCCCAGAGCUUAACUCUGGAACUGCCAUCAAAACUUUUUAGCUAGAGUAUGAUAGAGGAAAGCAGAAUUUCUAGUGUAGAGGUGAAAUUCGUAGAUAUUAGAAAGAAUACCAAUUGCGAAGGCAGCUUUCUGGAUCAUUACUGACACUGAGGAACGAAAGCAUGGGUAGCGAAGAGGAUUAGAUACCCUCGUAGUCCAUGCCGUAAACGAUGUGUGUUAGAUGUUGGAAAUUUAUUUUCAGUAUCGCAGCGAAAGCGAUAAACACACCGCCUGGGGAGUACGAC
rnacentral:rRNA from 1 species